UACGUAGGGUGCAAGCGUUAAUCGGAAUUACUGGGCGUAAAGCGUGCGCAGGCGGCUAUGCAAGACAGAUGUGAAAUCCCCGGGCUCAACCUGGGAACUGCAUUUGUGACUGCAUGGCUAGAGUACGGUAGAGGGGGAUGGAAUUCCGCGUGUAGCAGUGAAAUGCGUAGAUAUGCGGAGGAACACCGAUUGCGAAGGCAAUCCCCUGGACCUGUACUGACGCUCAUGCACGAAAGCGUGGGGAGCAAACAGG
rnacentral:rRNA from 1 species